rnacentral:misc_RNA from 1 species
ACAACCUCAACCUUGAUUGGUUUUCUAAUCAAGGCUUGGACUUGGGCGCUGCCGCUGCAAAGCGGCUCGCCUUAAAAACAUUAGCUGGACUUGUCUAUGACUUGGUUCGACUCAGUGCAAUAAGUAUUCACUGGGGACAGAGUAAAAUCUGGCCAAGGCUUGAUGCCGUCUGCUUCUAAUCAUGUUCUCACUAUGAGACGCUACUUUACU